GAGUGGGGGGCCUUAGGGCUGAUAUCUCUAGUAAAAUCAUACUGGCUGCAGUAGGGGCAAGAUUAGAUCCAUAAGCAGCAAAUUAGAUGUGUUCAUUUGAAGACUAAGUUCACUUCUUAUUUCAGGGUAGAAACAAAUUUUACCCCAUGAUAAGUGCCUUGGAAUUGUUAAAUCUUUUCAUAUGAUUACACCAUUUGUUGCCCUUUGAGAAGGACACAAAAAGUAUAGACUGAGGUUAAGUAGGUCAUUGGCUGAACCAUCUAAUUUAUCUUGCAUUCUUCAGACACUAUCUCUGAGCUGAUAGUUUGAAAAGCAAAAACAGCUUUGCAGGGUUUGUUAAUAGCAAUGAACCAAACGUGCUGCUAGGACUGGGCUAGAGGAGCUAAGAACUACAUUUAAUUAUCAAAUCAAUGUCAAUUAAAAUUGAACUCAAUGAUUCAAAAUUAAUUAUAUAGGUCACAAAAUGAGUGCAGCCAAAAAGCAAAUUAUCAUGUCAAUGUAUCGAGGUAAGUCAAUUCUUUAAAUAAAAAUCAGAAAUAACAAUAGAGUUUUAAGUCCCAGUUAUGGGUGUUUUCCAAAGUAGAGAAAUUAAGAAAAUUGACUUAGGCAAUUAGUGUUCAAAACAAGUUACUAUACUUCAAAGUAACCUGCUACCCUCUUUUAACCCUCUCCUUUCCCCAUGGCCUGAAUCAGACAGCUGGAUUUACCAAUUUUCAUUUCUCUCUAUAGCUGGCAGAGUCAAACUGGCAAGCAGCUGAGUCUUAAGUUCACCUGCUGCAUUCACCAAGGUACAAUUUCCAGGUGACAAAGUUGCUGUGAUACUGCAGCUCACUGGAAGAGCAGUUGAUGUUUUGGAACUGCGUGACCAUCAGCCAUUCAUCAAACCUUAUGUCAGCCCUGCCCAUGAUAGCUCAACCAUGAGAAGCAUUAUGGCUUAUCUCCAGGAGUUUCUUCAUCUAAAAAGAGGGAGAAUGACAUCUUCUUGCUAUGUAUUCAACUUAAAUGAAAGAAGAUUAACAAGAUGAAAUCUGUGUUCAUAGACAAUCUCUGAAGAGUAUUAUAAUAUACUCAGUUACAAAGUACACAGUUAAAUGAAUAAGUCACUGUUGCUAUUGCAAUAGGUAUUUGAUAAAUGGCAGUACUGAAGGUGCCAGCUUUAUACUUCAAACAAAGUAAUUGUUGUUUAAUGUUUAAUGCUCUAUAUCCAUCACUGUAGCGUUCAAGAAAGUAUCAUGAUGUGUUUUUUCAGGUGAUGUUGCUCUAAAUUGCAAAAUCUACAACUGAG
rnacentral:lncRNA from 1 species